CAGCACACUGGAGGCUGAAAUUCAGGGGCGGUAGCUAU
rfam:Aeromonas molluscorum 848 Cont67, whole genome shotgun sequence.